CUGGUCUUGACAUCCCUCUGACAGGACAGUAAUGUGUCUUUUCCUACGGGACAGAGGAGACAGGUGGUGCAUGGUUGUCGUCAGCUCGUGUCGUGAGAUGUUGGGUUAAGUCCCGCAACGAGCGCAACCCCUGCCUUCAGUAGCCAGCACAUAAAGGUGGGCACUCUGGAGGGACAGCCGAGGAUAACUCGGAGGAAGGCGGGGAUGACGUCAAAUCAUCAUGCCCCUUAUGGCCAGGGCUACACACGUGCUACAAUGGCGCAAACAAAGGGAAGCAGAGCUGUGAGGCCGAGCAAAUCCCAAAAACAGCGUCCCAGUUCGGAUUGUAGUCUGCAACUCGACUACAUGAAGCCGGAAUCGCUAGUAAUCGCGAAUCAGAAUGUCGCGGUGAAUACGUUCCCGGGUCUUGUACACACCGCCCGUCACACCAUGGGAGCCGGAAAUGCCCGAAGUCAGUGGCCCAACCGCAAGGAGGGAGCUGCCGAAGGUGGAGCUGGUGACUGGGGUGAAGUCGUAACAAGGUAGCCGUAUCGGAAGGUGCG
rnacentral:rRNA from 1 species